GACGAACGCGGGGGCGUGCUUAACACAUGCAAGUCGAACGAAGAGCGAUGGAAGCUUGCUUCUAUCAAUUUUAGUGGCGAACGGGUGAGUAACGCGUAAUCAACCUGCCCUUCAGAGGGGGACAACAGUUGGAAACGACUGCUAAUACCGCAUACGAUCUAAUCUCGGCAUCGAGGAUAGAUGAAAGGUGGCCUCUACAUGUAAGCUAUCACUGAAGGAGGGGAUUGCGUCUGAUUAGCUAGUUGGAGGGGUAACGGCCCACCAAGGCGAUGAUCAGUAGCCGGUCUGAGAGGAUGAACGGCCACAUUGGGACUGAGACACGGCCCAGACUCCUACGGGAGGCAGCAGUGGGAAAUCUUCCGCAAUGGACGAAAGUCUGACGGAGCAACGCCGCGUGAGUGAUGGCGGCCUUCGGGUUGUAAAGCUCUGUUAAUCGGGACGAAAGGCCUUCUUGCGAAUAGUGAGAAG
rnacentral:rRNA from 1 species